UGGGUGGUAGCCAAGUGGUCGACGGCACUAGUCUCCAAAACUAGCUGCGAAAGCACACUCAGGUUCGAAUCCUGACCACUCAG
rnacentral:tRNA from 2 species